rnacentral:rRNA from 1 species
AGAGAAUAGAUACCCUGGUAGUCCACGCCGUAAACGAUGGGUACUAGCUUUGGCGGGUCUUGACCCCUGCUGAAAGCGGAGCUAAAACGCACUAAGUACCCGCCUGGGAAGUACGGUCGCAAGACUAAAACUACAAAGGAAAUUGACGGGGGCCCGGCACAAGCGGUGGAUCAUGUGGUUUAAUUCGAAGCAACGCGAAGAACCUUACCUGGGUUUGACAUCUCCGGACAAACGUAGAGAUACGUCUUUUGUAGCAAUACAACCGGAAGACAGGUGCUGCAUGGCUGUCGUCAGCUCGUGUGGUGACAUGUUGGGUUAAGUCCCGCAACGAGCGCAACCCUUGUCCUUAGUUGCCAGCAUUCAGUUGGGCUCUCUAAGGAGACUGCCGUGGUUAACACGGAGGAAGGUGGGGAUGACGUCAAGUCCUCAUGGCCUUUAUAUCCAGGGCGACACACGUGAUACAAUGGACGAUACAGAGGGACGCGAAGUGGCGACACGGAGCUAAUCUCAAAAAAGUCGUUCUCAGUUCGGAUUGGAGU